GGUUUUUGCUUUGAUGCUACUUUUUGAUUUUUGAGUAACAGAUCCAGUGUGUUGUGCUUUUGGGAUUUGUAGAUCCGGGGUUGAAUAUUUCUGUUUUUGAAACAGAUGUUUGUUGGUUGUUUGAGAUAUAAGUUCAUGCAUAGAAAACAGGCAUGCUAUUUUCAAUUGAGGUUUAUUGAUGAUAUUCAAAUUAUGCUCUGUGUUUAAGUAUUAGAUC
rnacentral:misc_RNA from 1 species